rnacentral:lncRNA from 1 species
GCGCUACGUGUCAUCUAUAUCUUCUAAAUCCCUAUAUAAAACAAAAGCCUCAACUCAGACCUCUCACACCAUAUCCUCUCUAUCAUUUCAUUUCUCAGAUUUUAGAAAACACAUUCCUCUCUCAAUGUCUUACAUGAGGAGGUGCUUGGAGAGGCAAUAGCUAGAAAUUGAAGAAAGAAGGCACAAACGAGCUGAAGAAGAAAGGGAUGAGGAAGAAGAUGAUGAUCAAGUUUCCAUGGCAGUGGGUAUGCUCCAUCUAUCAAGCUAAGGCUGACACCGUGGUUCACAAGUCGGUCGUGGCCCGAACGUGGACAAACGUAGACAUUCUCGGGGUAAGAAUCUUUUGUAAGAUUAUUUUAUCCCAAAUUCGGGGAAUCCAACGGCAAAUGUGAUGUCGUUGAAUCGUGGAGCGGCGUCUUAUUCAACACAACGGUCGGCCUCGUGGGAAUAAUUUUGAAUCUCGAACAAUUUUUAACCACCUCCCAACAUUGGUGAUUGUUGAAAGAUUUUUUACCUUGGCCAAUGACAUCGAGCCACAUUUGUGUUUGCAUAAUCUAUAAAAAUAAAAAAUUGAAAAUGCAAGAAAAUUUCAUUUAAAAAAAAAAAGGACAUUAUAUUUAAUAAAACGGCAAUUACAAAUAAUUUACCUCAAUGGCAAGAUUUUCGCCGUUUCAAACGUUGUCCCUCGCUUUUACCAAUGCAUCUCACCAUUUC